rnacentral:lncRNA from 1 species
UUUUAAGGAUUGGAGGACAACGGUUCUUAGAUAAAAAAAACAAAAAACGUUACCUCUUCUUAAAAAAACAAAGCCCUCUUCUCUUUAUUAUUGUCAUCUUGUCUACUAUGAGAAAUACGGGUGAGGCCAGCCCGGGCUGCUAGAAAUGGCAACAAAAUCUCCUUCAAACUACACCAUAUCGUCGUCUUUGGAAAAAAGGCAGAACAAUAAUGCAAUGUUAUAAAUAGGGAUAGAAAGGCGGGAUGGUUAUUGCUGGAACGCCUUUCAUCAUUGGUCUUGUAGAUCUGGACUGACCUUGUGGGUUCUACAACAAAAAAUCCCGCUUAUUUUUCGUAAGAGUAUGAAUGUUCCAACAUCACAUGGGGUUUUAGAUAAUGGACACUACUAUGAAUUUUGUUCUUAUUCUCAUUUAUAUAUUAAUGGAGAUACUAGUUUGCAAUAAAAAGUAAUAAAUUUUUAA